UACGUAGGGGGCUAGCGUUGUCCGGAAUCAUUGGGCGUAAAGAGCGUGUAGGCGGCCCGGUAAGUCCGCUGUGAAAGUCGGGGGCUCAACCCUCGAAUGCCGGUGGAUACUGUCGGGCUAGAGUGCGGAAGAGGCGAGUGGAAUUCCUGGUGUAGCGGUGAAAUGCGCAGAUAUCAGGAGGAACACCUGUGGCGAAAGCGGCUCACUGGACCAUAACUGACGCUGAUGCACGAAAGCUAGGGGAGCAAACAGG
rnacentral:rRNA from 1 species